GCAUUGGCAAGUUUAUUUGCCAGAACUACUGAAUCUUCCAAGGCACAACAAGCACCUUGUCCAAGAUUUGGAGUCAUUGGGUGCCAAGCAUCUCCAACAAGAACCACUCGUCCUUUUGAUGCUGGAGGAGCAAUGCCAGGCCAUAGCCACCGGUCUACUAGAGGAGUUCUGCUGAUAGUUUCAUCAGGUGUUAAAUCGAUGAGGUUUUGCAGAUCUUCUGGCCAUGUACUAACCAGUUCUUUGGCUUGUUUUUUUAGGAUCGCUGGAUCCGUAAUUUUGGGCCCUGCAUGUCUCAAG